GCGUGUUUACGCCAGUCUGCAGGUGUUAAUUCCGGGCAGAUUCACCCGGAUAUGAAAGUCACAUCUAUCAUAUUUUGGUAAGCAACGGUGCAUGAGAGCAUUUGUACACAACAAAUGACUUCCAUCAUUAACUUCUCCUCCUCUCCGGAAUCGGUGUCUUUCUAUGGAAGUCGAUUGAAUCCUCGUUCCACCGGACGAGGGAUGAAGUGGCUACAGAGAAAUCAAAAUGUUCCACGGCAGGCCGGUGAUAGAGUGAUUUGGAGGAAUUAGACAAUUGCGUGGCCAAAACGUCGACCAAGAACACAUGCCGAGAAGAAGAAGCAUUUGGAAGCAGAGGAAGUCAUCCACACGCUGCAAGUGCUUGCAGAUCUGAUAUGAGCAGGUUUUGGUUAAGUGCGAGUUUGGGGACGAUGGCCGCCAGACCGGAAUCAUCUUGACCUUGAGGACUUCGUAAGCACUGCAAGGGACAGAAUCAACAAUGAGGGCUUAUCAUUCCCCUUAACAGCAACGUGCACAACCCAGACCAUCAGCAAGUGUCUCCACACGUGGCCUCCGAAGCCAGGCACAUCGACCAGAUGGAGGAAUUAGUCAUAAGCUGCCUGUUGUGUGGCUUUGUAAGAAACAUUGGUUUGAUUCCUCCAUAUGGAGAUUUUCAUCGCUUCAUGCAGUUGGCACUUGGCGGCUAUUAUCGUUUGUUGGCCUUUUACAUGGUGUUCUUUGGUUAAAUGUGGUUUGAUAUAACGUCUUCAGUCCUUUCAUAUGAUACUGUAAUUAAAUAGUAUCAAUUGGUGCUCCUAUUUUGUGAUAAUUUUGGACAUCAUAGUUUGCCCAAUACUUUUUUUACACGCUUCAGUACAGGUAAAGUAGAUACCAGAACAGUGAUGUGCAGGGUGUUACCUUUUCACUAGUAUUUUGUGUUUUCUCUAUAA